CACAUCAAGGAAGGCAGCAGGCGCGCAAUUACCCAAUCCUAACUCAGGGAGGUAGUGACAAGAAAUAACAAUAACUGACCUUAAAUAGGUAAGUUAAUUGGAAUGAGUACAAUCUAAACACCUUAACGACUAUCCAUUGGAGGGCAAGUCUGGUGCCAGCAGCCGCGGUAAUUCCAGCUCCAAUAGCGUAUACUAAUGUUGUUGCAGUUAAAAAGCUCGUAGUCGGAUUUCAGUUUAAUACACUCAGCUUAUAUGUUGACGUGUGUUUUACUUCAUUGAUAUGAACCUGCAUCUGAUUUAUUUCCGGUGCUGUCUAGUAUCUCUUUUACUUUGAGAAAAUUAGAGUGUUCAAAGCAGGUUUUCGCCUGAAUAUUACUCUUGGAAUAAUGAUAUAGGACUUUGGUUCUAAUUUGUUGGUGUAUUAGGACCGGAGUAAUGAUUGAUAGGGACGGUUGGGGUCAUUCAUACUGCAAAGCGAGAGGUGAAAUUCUUGGACCUUUGUAUGAUGAACAACUGCGAAAGCAUUUGACUAGGACGUUCCCGUUGAUCAAGAACGAAAGUUGGGGGAUCGAAGACGAUCAGAUACCGUCGUAGUCUCAACCAUAAACUAUGCCAGCUAGGGAUGGGAAGGUGUUUAUUUACGACCCUUUCCGCACCUUAUGAGAAAUCAAAGCAUUUGGGUUCCGGGGGGAGUAUGGUCGCAAGGCUGAAACUUAAAGGAAUUGACGGGAGGGCACCACCAGGAGUGGAGCCUGUGGCUUAAUUUGACUCAACACGGGAAAACUUACCAGGUCCGGACAUAGUAAGGAUUGACAGAUUGAAAGCUCUUUCUUGAUUCUAUGGGUGGUGGUGCAUGGCCGUUCUUAGUUGGUGGAGUGAUUUGUCUGGUUAAUUCCGUUAACGAACGAGACCUCAGCCUGCUAAAUAGUUUACGUUUCUUUUGAAUCGUUGAACUUCUUAGAGGGACUACUUCGCAAACAAGCGAGAGGAAGCUUGAGGCAAUAACAGGUCUGUGAUGCCCUUAGAUGUUCUGGGCCGCACACGGGCUACACUGGUGUAUUCAACAAGUCUUGUCACCUACAUUGAAGAAUGCGGGUAAUCUUUGAAUCUACACCGUGCUUGGGAUAGACUUUUGCAAUUUUUAGUCUUCAACGAGGAAUUCCUAGUAAACGCGAGUCAUCAGCUCGCAUUGAUUACGUCCCUGCCCUUUGUACACACCGCCCGUCGCUCCUACCGAUUGAAUGAUUCGGUAAGCAUUUGGGAUUGAUUUCUUUUAACCCUCACCGGGUUUCAAGUGUGACA
rnacentral:rRNA from 1 species